CUACCCGACAGUCAGAGCUAGAGGCUUUCCCCUACUGCAGGUGAUAUAGGUAGGAUUGGUCAGGACACAGUAUGAGGCUAUAACUAGUGGGCGGUCUUAGACGUCUCGAUCUCGGUAUACAUUUUGACUAUACUUCAUAUUUAACAUUAGUCAUACAUGUGUCAGUAUAGUUUAACCUCUAUACUUGUUAGUAGUUGUUCUUAUAUGGUUCAGUUGAUGAUUUUUUAUUCACGGAUUCUUGGAUGA